rnacentral:rRNA from 1 species
CACGUAGGGCGCAAGCGUUGUCCGGAAUUAUUGGGCGUAAAGAGCUCGUAGGCGGUCUGUUGCGUCCGCUGUGAAAACCCGGGGCUUAACCCCGAACUUGCAGUGGGUACGGGCAGACUAGAGUGUGGUAGGGGGAGACUGGAAUUCCUGGUGUAGCGGUGAAAUGCGCAGAUAUCAGGAGGAACACCGAUGGCGAAGGCAGGUCUCUGGGCCACUACUGACGCUGAGAAGCGAAAGCAUGGGGAGCGAACAGG